CGCGGGCCAGGCCACGCGCGGCGCCGCCUGGUCUUCCGCAUCCCCGCCUCUUCCUCGCCUCUCCGUCCCCGUUGCGCCCAAGUGCUGCUGGAGGCAGCCGGAGACAGAGGCUGGAUGGGCUGUUGAUGCUCUCCGCCUUCCGCCGGACGCAGUGGUAGGACGGCGGAGCCUGAGUAGUGGAUGGGUCGGAAAGAUUGGUGGGCAAGUUCUCCGAGCAUUAUGACAGCCGGUUCAGUAGCACCUUCUCCUGUGCUGUCACCUCGGUCGUCGUCAAGGUUAUGAAGAAUGGUGUCGAUGUGAAGUUGCGGAGGAAUUCUUCGAGUCUCUUGCAAGCUCCAACCGGCAACAAAGUUGCUGAAAAUAUUUGUACCUGUCCAGUAGGGCUUGACCUGGUGCUACCGGCAUCCACUACGACC